rnacentral:rRNA from 1 species
CUUCGGGCUUUGAGACCGGCGCACGGGUGCGUAACGCGUAUGCAAUCUGCCUUUCACAGAGGGAUAGCCCAGAGAAAUUUGGAUUAAUACCUCAUAGCAUUAUAAGAUGGCAUCAUUUUAUAAUUAAAGUCACAACGGUGAAAGAUGAGCAUGCGUCCCAUUAGCUAGUUGGUAAGGUAACGGCUUACCAAGGCAACGAUGGGUAGGGGUCCUGAGAGGGAGAUCCCCCACACUGGUACUGAGACACGGACCAGACUCCUACGGGAGGCAGCAGUGAGGAAUAUUGGUCAAUGGACGCAAGUCUGAACCAGCCAUGCCGCGUGCAGGAUGACGGUCCUAUGGAUUGUAAACUGCUUUUGCACAGGAAGAAACACUCCGACGUGUCGGAGCUUGACGGUACUGUGAGAAUAAGGAUCGGCUAACUCCGUGCCAGCAGCCGCGGUAAUACGGAGGAUCCAAGCGUUAUCCGGAAUCAUUGGGUUUAAAGGGUCCGUAGGCGGUCUUGUAAGUCAGUGGUGAAAGCCCAUCGCUCAACGGUGGA